UGUGGUAUGAUGAAAAGAAUCAUUCGGAUUCCCAAUGAUAGCAUAUAUAUGAUAUCUCAACCAGCUACUUCUGAUCACAUGGUUCCUUCCUUCACUCCCUACUUUAUUUUUUUUUAUUUUUUCUGAGUUUCAAUGUUUUCGGUUUCGAAUUUAGGCCGAUGAUGGAUAACAAUAUUUGCUACUCUUGAUGGGGAAAUCCCAUCUGAUGAUAUUUUACCACCAAGAUCUCUGAGGCC
rnacentral:lncRNA from 1 species